rnacentral:snRNA from 1 species
AUCACUUCAAGGCCUUUUGGCUAAGAUCAAGUGUAGCAUUUGUUCUUAUUGGUUUAAUAUCUGAUAGGCCCUCUAUCUGAGGACAAUAUAUUAAAUAGAUUUUUGAAGCAGGGAGAUGGUUUAGGACUUUGCUCCGUCCACUGCAUGCAUCGACCUGGUAUUGCAGUACUUCCAGGAAUGGUGUAGAAAAA